AGGAUGGUUUUGAAGAGAAUGAGAGCUGUUUAGAAUGGCUUGGAAGGCUGGGACAGGCACGUGGGCACUACAAUCCCCAAAGGAGAUAUAAUAUGUGAGUGUCAAGACAAGACACGAGAUAACAAAAAGUUGCCCCGAUUUGGUGUUUGGGCAAAAUGAGCUGGAGUUCGGAUUCAUGAAAAUUAGGGUGAAAAUUCAAAGGAGAUCCGUAAAGCUGCCCCAGUCUUGGGAUUUUGGGUCAAUGAGUUGCAAGGCUAAGAAUUCGCGUGAGAUUCACAAAGUUGCCCAUGUUCUUCUUUGGCAAGGGGUUCCAUUUGGAAGAAGUAGUGGGCAUGAAAGGGAUAGGCUAAAAGGAUGGCCCCAAUUGUUUGUUCGCAUGCUUCUGAUUAAAUGGCAGGAUGAUCCCCUCUUCCCUAAACAUCACUUUUUCUUCUUUUUUUUCACUUUCAAACCCUUUCUUUUUUUUUUUACUUUUUUUCUUAUACGACAUAUUUAAUGUCAUUUCACCUUAUCGCAAAAUUAAACUUUAUGAAAAUUUGAGCAAUCAUUAUUCAAUCUGUGUGGGCUUUAUUAGGCUUCUAACGUGGCUAAGGGCUACAAAGUAAUGAAAGAAAGGGUAUAAAGGACCAAAUGAAUGUUUGGUGGUUAUAUUUUUUUGGAAACAAGGGUUGUCAUCUAGGCAUUGCAUCAACUAUUUGACUUUUGAGCACUUUCGUUUUUUCUCGAACUUUGAUUUUCAUUCUCUUUGCUCAUCAUCACUUUGUGAUUUUUUCGUUCUUUUUUGUUUGUCUGUUUGUUUUUUCUUUUUUUUUUCACUCUUCUUGAUGAAUUCUCUUCGUUUAAUCAUUGAGUGCUCUUCAUUUUCAACAUAAGUUGACUCUUACCUGAUGGAAACCCUUGCUUGGGGAUAAUUUUGAAAAAGAAUUUAUUUUUGGCUCAAACGGGGUGACAAUGGAUAUAUUUUUUGUUUUUUAGAUAAAGACAAGAAGGCCACACAUCAUUUUGAACUAUUGCUUUAUUUUCAAAAGAUUAACUUUGCGACUAGAUGACCUCAACAUUAGUCGUUUUUUCUUUCUUUCUAGACCGCCCUUUCGGGUUUUCAAUCUAGAGGACUUAUUCUUUUUUUGAAAGUUUCUUUUUUUUUUAUAUAUGUUUUUUUUGCCUUAUAUUUUUUUGUUUUGUCUCAAUGGAUUCGGGGAUCACCCUAAUAGCGCAAGCGAGAAAAAAUUUUGGCCAAGCCAAUCUGCCCCAGUGAAAAGGUUUACUUUGUUAUUGAGGGCAGCGAUGAUGUUUGUUG
rnacentral:lncRNA from 1 species